rnacentral:sRNA from 1 species
UCUUCUGCCAACAACUC